rnacentral:lncRNA from 1 species
CAACAAGAAAAUAAAUAAAAACCACAAUAAAAAAAUUAACACAUAGUCGAAACAAAGAUUUCAAAAAAAAGUAUUUUUUAAAAAUAUGAUAUAAUAAAUAAAACAGUAAAUAUAAAACACAAAGGAUUUAUAUUUAUUAUACUCAAAAUAAUUGUGAUUUUUUACAAAAAAAAUAAUGUUACAAAAAAAUAAUGUACUGAUCCAAUAAAAAACAAGCCUAAAUUUAGUAUUUAUAUAAAAAUAAAAUAGUAUAUAUUUGCAUAGUCCAAACAAAAAAAUGUAAUAUAAAAUAAUUUGACAAGAAACACAUAAUAAUAUAAAUAAAAAUAGUUGACCUCAC